UUUUAAGUCGGAAGUCGCCAUUUGCCAACCAUUCUUUUUCGUUGGAGUCGCCGAAGGAGAAGUGCUUUCGAAGAACAAUGGUUAAAGAGCGGUUCUACGAGUAUAACCCCUGCAAAUUGGGUGCCUUGAGAGGCAUAUUUUGGUAUUUGGAGAAGUAGACAACAAGGGAGCAUGUAAAUGUGUUUUGGAAGCUCGGAAGGUGCAAAGAUCUUCCUAUCCCAAAGGUGAAACUAUGGCACACCUAUUGCAGAAUGUCUGACGUCCCAAGGAGCUACUCAGUAUUUACGACAAAAUGGUGUAGAUGCCACUUUUCAUGGUGGGGGAUUAGGACGAGGCUAGAAGUUUUGUCGUCUUAAAACAACAUGGGUCCUAGAUUGGUGGUUGUAAAGAAGUGACUCUAAAGGAGGAUCCUGAUUUGAGGUUGAGGUCUUCUGGAACGUUACAAAAAUUGAUCUAGGAUUGUUUUGUUUGACUUAAUUGCAUGUGGAUACAACGCUGAAAGACUUACGAAAGCGCUCAUGUGGUUAUUUGUGAUUGUACAUACGAAAUGUUUUAAUAAAUGGUAUCAUAUA